rnacentral:rRNA from 1 species
GAGUUUGAUCUUGGCUCAGAGCGAACGCUGGCGGCAGGCUUAACACAUGCAAGUCGAGCGGGCGUAGCAAUACGUCAGCGGCAGACGGGUGAGUAACGCGUGGGAACAUACCUUUUGGUUCGGAACAACCCAGGGAAACUUGGGCUAAUACCGGAUAAGCCCUUACGGGGAAAGAUUUAUCGCCGAAAGAUUGGCCCGCGUCUGAUUAGCUAGUUGGUGAGGUAACGGCUCACCAAGGCGACGAUCAGUAGCUAGUCUGAGAGGAUGAUCAGCCACAUUGGGAUUGAGACACGGCCCAAACUCCUACGGGAGGCAGCAGUGGGGAAUAUUGGACAAUGGGCGCAAGCCUGAUCCAGCCAUGCCGCGUGAGUGAUGAAGGCCCUAGGGUUGUAAAGCUCUUUUGUGCGGGAAGAUAAUGACGGUACCGCAAGAAUAAGCCCGGCUAACUUCGUGCCAGCAGCCGCA